GUUAAGCUGUCCAGUUAACCGACUUAGAGUCAGUCAACCGCCUUUGUUGCUUGAAAUAAAUCCUACCCGUCCUUCCAUCAUUCACUAUUUAAUCUCAGCGUUCCAUCCUCUCUACAUAGACAAAUCAGUCCAAUUGCUACUCGCUAUACGACUGUAAUAGUGAUUACUCGUUGGGUAACGUUGUUUUCAUGACGGUGCUUUUGUGUUUUGACCUGGUUUUUUAAGUAACAGAUCUCUUAUUGAAUCUCAUUGUUUGGUUUUGAGAGUUGCUUGUAUGGCUAAAGAUUGAGAUAUUGGUUUUCUUGUGUCUCGCUGUAUAUUUCUUCCUCAGGUUUUGACGCUUAAUAACUCUUAAAUUUUUUUGCCCCUAGAAGUAUUGAAGUAAUCGAUUCUCUUUAACCUUUUCCAUUACACUUCGUUUUAACAAUUGCUUCUGCUCCGAAAAGAUUGGAUUCGGUUUUCUGAAGUCCACAUUCUUUGAUUUAAUGAUUCUGAAUUCAUUGGGUUUUGUUGGCUGUCUGGGCUUUUCCGGGUUUUAUCAUCAUAUUGAGCAACAUGUGGCUAAAAAUAUUGACCAAGGUCAGGACUUUUGCGUCCUUUACAAGGAUCAUUCCUUGAUUCGGUUCGGUUUUAUUAGACAGUCAGAAUAAUGAGGGGAUUGUUAAUUUACGUUUCUUGAUUUUACUGAAAAAUGUGUUUUCCUGAAUCUCAUUGUUUGGUUUUGAGAGUUGCUUGUAUGGCUAAAAAUUGAGAUAUUGGUUUUCUUGUGUCUCGCUGUAUAUUUCUUCCUCAGGUUUUGACGCUUAAUAACUCUUAAACUUUUUUGCCCCUAGAAAUAUUGAAGUAAUCGAUUCUCUUUAACCUUUUCCAUUACACUUCGUUUUAACAAUUGCUUCUGCUCCGAAAAGAUUGGAUUCGGUUUUCUGAAGUCCACAUUCUUUGAUUUAAUGAUUCUGAAUUCAUUGGGUUUUGUUGGCUGUCUGGGCUUUUUCCGGGUUUUAUCAUCAUAUUGAGCAACCNNNNNNNNNNNNNNNNNNNNNNNNNNNNNNNNNNNNNNNNNNNNNNNNNNNNNNNNNNNNNNNNNNNNNNNNAUUGUUAAUUUACGUUUCUUGAUUUUACUGAAAAAUGUGUUUUCCUGAAUCUCAUUGUUUGGUUUUGAGAGUUGCUUGUAUGGCUAAAAAUUGAGAUAUUGGUUUUCUUGUGUCUCGCUGUAUAUUUCUUCCUCAGGUUUUGACGCUUAAUAACUCUUAAACUUUUUUGCCCCUAGAAAUAUUGAAGUAAUCGAUUCUCUUUAACCUUUUCCAUUACACUUCGUUUUAACAAUUGCUUCUGCUCCGAAAAGAUUGGAUUCGGUUUUCUGAAGUCCACAUUCUUUGAUUUAAUGAUUCUGAAUUCAUUGGGUUUUGUUGGCUGUCUGGGCUUUUCCGGGUUUUAUCAUCAUAUUGAGCAACAUGUGGCUAAAAAUAUUGACCAAGGUCAGGACUUUUGCGUCCUUUACAAGGAUCAUUCCUUGAUUCGGUUCGGUUUUAUUAGACAGUCAGAAUAAUGAGGGGAUUGUUAAUUUACGUUUCUUGAUUUUACUGAAAAAUGUGUUUUCCUGAAUCUCAUUGUUUGGUUUUGAGAGUUGCUUGUAUGGCUAAAAAUUGAGAUAUUGGUUUUCUUGUGUCUCGCUGUAUAUUUCUUCCUCAGGUUUUGACGCCUAAUAACUCUUAAACUUUUUUGCCCCUAGAAGUAUUGAAGUAAUCGAUUUUCUUUAACCUUUUCCAUUACACUUCGUUUCAACAAUUGUUUCUGCUAUGAAAAGAUUGGAUUCGGUUUUCUGAAGUCCACAUUCUUUGAUUUAAUGAUUCUGAAUUCAUUGGGUUUUGUUGGCUGUCUGGGCUUUUCCGGGUUUUAUCAUCAUAUUGAGCAACAUGUGGCUAAAAAUAUUGACCAAGGUCAGGACUUUUGCGUCCUUUACAAGGAUCAUUCCUUGAUUCGGUUCGGUUUUAUUAGACAGUCAGAAUAAUGAGGGGAUUGUUAAUUUACGUUUCUUGAUUUUACUGAAAAAUGUGUUUUCCUGAAUCUCAUUGUUUGGUUUUGAGAGUUGCUUGUAUGGCUAAAAAUUGAGAUAUUGGUUUUCUUGUGUCUCGCUGUAUAUUUCUUCCUCAGGUUUUGACGCCUAAUAACUCUUAAACUUUUUUGCCCCUAGAAGUAUUGAAGUAAUCGAUUUUCUUUAACCUUUUCCAUUACACUUCGUUUCAACAAUUGUUUCUGCUAUGAAAAGAUUGGAUUCGGUUUUCUGAAGUCCACAUUCUUUGAUUUAAUCAUUCCGAAUUCAUUGGAUUUUGUUGGCUGUCUAGGUUUUUCCCGGUUUUAUCAUCAUAUUGAGCAACAUUUGGGUAAAAAUAUUGACCAAGGUCAGGACUUUUGCAUCCUUUACAAGGAUCAUUCCUUGAUUCCGUUCGGUUUUGUUAGACAGUCAGAAUCAUGAAGGGAAUCUUUCUUGCAAUUUUGAUCAAUUACCGAUAUCCUGCUUCUUGGACAUAUAUCUGAUAUGAACAAGAACCUAUUUAUAAAAUCGUGGCUAUUUUUGUUCCAGGGUCCUCUUUGAAGUUUGAAAGCCAUCGGGCUUUAAUUGUAGUUCGCUACUUAGCUUAAUUGCUCACUGCAUCUGGUUUGGAUAGCAAAACUCAUUCCAUGCAAACCUUUUUGUUUUGGUCCCACUUAAAUUGAGUUCAUAUUGUCACAUGUCUUACAGCUCUUCCCAUUUGUUUAAUAGCUGGCACUGUAGCAAUAUCUGAAUGCUUAUGUGGAAAUAUUCUUUAUAAUGAUAGUUUAGUUUUAUAUUUGCAACUUCUUUUUUUCUUGGGCAGAUGUAACGUCACUAAAAUUUCUAGAUGUACAUGUCUUAUGUUGAGGAUAUGCAGGACUGAUUCAGGUUUAAAGAUGUAGUAUUGCUUGGUGCUAGGCUACAUGAUUUGUUUACUGAAGAAGAAGUUUGCGGUCUCUUAAUUUCUGUCUCAACAGAGUAUGAUAGCUAUUGCUUUCCCAUUUCUUGUUUUGCCCACUUGUUAUGCUAUGAAUGAGGCAUAUUAGUACAUUCCAUCUUUUUCGGUGUACAAUAAUCAUAUAUAUCCUCAUUGAUGUCAGGAUAAUGUUGCUCAUCCUUUUAACUUGUUGAUUAUACAUUUUCCAGUAGUGUUGGAUGUGAUAGUUAGACUACUGAUCACUGACUGAGAGAUCUUCGUUAUUUUGAAGGCUGGCCCGUCUUUUGCAUCUUGUACCAUCGGUUGUGUUGUUGAUGAAUUAUUGGUGCAGUAGUAACCUGCAUUAACCUUCAGUUGCAUAUGUUGCAUGAUACACUUUCACCAUUCUGAUUGUCAGUUUACAGUCUCCCGUAACAUCGUUUUUGUUUUCUUGUUGGGCUGAGUUAUUUCAUUUUAUGAUGCUAAUAAUCCAAAAAGAAUAAUUGGAACUACUAUAUAGAGUUUCUUCAUAAUAUUAUCUUUUUAUAUCAUAAAUGAAUUUUCUAGAAUUUCAGCCCAGCCCUAUUUCUUUCAAUUUUUUAAAAAGCAAAAGCGUGCUCAACAAGCAAUUCUCGUAAGAUUAGCUAAUUGCUUCUCAUUGAAACAAGGAAAUCUUUUGAAAAGUAAUGAAUUUCACUUUGAUUUAUGUGCAAUAUUUGGUUCCAAACUGGAACAUUGUAGACUGUCUUCUUACGGCAUGAUAAUUGGUUUGAUGUGGGGUUUUUUUGGAAUAUUGAAUUUGUUCUUGGACCAUUUGGUUCUUCCGUCGACUUGACAAUAUUGAAUGAUUUUCAAACUUUAUUUCAACUUGUCUAUUGAUUAAUGGAUUUAUUGGUAUUUAAUGGUAAGAAAUUAAUGAUUUGAUGUGCACCCUAGAUCAUUGUUUAAAAAGUGGUGUGAUCUUUGAUUUGUCUCUUUCUCUUUGAUUAUGUUCGAUUAUCCACUUAAGAAUAUGUUGAACAAUUCUUUUGAACUUUGUUUUAUAUGAUCUUUUAAUUAUUCGGUUCAUUCAUAUAUCAUCUUGAAUAGAACUGGUGAUUUGGUCAUCUUGAAUAGAACUGGUGAUUUGGCUGCCUGCUUCAUAGGAGUCCCUCCCGUCCCAUUUGCAUAAGGAUAAAGAUUGAAAGAAAAGGGUUUCUUGGUUCUUAUUCUAUGCUACUUUAUAUUUAAUUCAUCAGUUUGUGGAGAUAUAUUUGUGCUAAGAUUGAAACAUGGCGUUUCUUAGAUCCCAAUCUACAUUUCUUGAUUAUACGCCUCCUAAACCCUGAAAUUUGUUGGGUUUUCGGUAUGGGCGUGUGGUUUUCCCAGAUCCUGUUUGGAGCAACAUGUGGCUAAUAAUAUUGAGACAUUGGCUUUCUGGAUCUCCUUUACACAACAGUGAUUUUGAGCACUAGUUGUCUAAUUUUUCAGAAUUCCAUCAACUUGUGAAAUAAUAUGUAAUCCAAAGUUAAAAUUGCCAAGGGUUCAUCAGCCUGCGGGGUGAUGUGUAUUUUAACACUGAAAAAUCAGUUUUUCCAAACUUUACUUCGAAACUCUGCCAUUUAUUUGUUUAUUGAUUUCAGCAGUCCCCUUCGGUCUCCGUCAGGUUGGAUGUUUUCCUCCUUUCUCCCAAAGUAGGAUUGUCUUAGUCUUGGUUGUUGUUUUUUCUUUUCCAGGAUUCCACCAACUUGUGGAUAUAUGGGUGCUAAUCCUGAAAAAUUGUGAUUUCUUAGCUUCCUGUCUACAAUUUUGUGAUUAGCUGAUCACACUUUUUGUGAGAGUGUUGGAUGUGAUAUAUAGACCACAGAUUACUGAAGCUGAGAUCGUUGAUUUGUCAAAGGCUGGUCCAUUUUGAUAAGGGAUUUUCUUGAUUUUAUACAUCUAACAGAUUGAAAUAUUGCCUUUAAUCUUUAUCAUUACACUUCCUGAUAAUGUGAGUUUUGCGGGUUGCUUGUGUGGUUAAAAGAUUAGAUCAUCGGUUUUCUUAGGUCACAUGUACAUUUGAUCCUAUGGGUUUUUCCUUUUUUUAUGCAUCUGAAAAUAUGAAGGUAAGGUUUUCUUUGAUCCUCGUCAUUACACUUCCUCAUAAAUAUGAGUUUUGUGGGUUGUUUCUGUUUCUAAAGAUUAAAUAUUUGAUCUGUUUCUUUAUUGAUGCUUUCCAAAUCCUGAUUAUGUUUGUUUUCCGAGUGUUUGGAUUGUAUGGUUUUUCCAGGUUCUAUUAUCAUUUAGAGAAAACACGUGACUAAAAAUUAAAAAAUGGGAUUUAUUAGAUCUCGCCCUAAAAUUUGUCUUACACUUCCUUAUAGUGUUGUUGGGUUUUGAGGGUUGCAAAAUCAGUUGGUUUUCAUAGAUGUCGGUCUACAUUUCUUGACUUUUUGCCUUGUAAAUCCUGCAUAGAAACAUUAAAAAAUGGGAUUGUGAUUGAAUCCACUUCAAUAUUUUUCAUUGCAGUUUUGAGGGUUGCUUGUGUGUCCCAAAGAUUAAAAAUCAGUUUUUAGAGGUCUCCCUCUAAAUAGUUGUGGAUUUUGGGUUUUGGUUGAUUUGCAAGGUUCCCAUUAGCUUGUGAAGCAAUAUAUUCUCCAAGAUUGAAAAUUGCCUGGGAUUCCAUCAACUUGUGGAGCGAUAUGUGUUCUACGAUUGAAACAAGGAUUUUCCCGGAUAAUGUUUCUCAAUUAUGUGAUUUAGUUGACUCUUGAUGGUGGUAAAUUUUCUUAGUAUUGGUUGUGUUCUUUUUCCAGGACUCAACCAGCUUGUGGAGAUAUGAGUGCUAAUACUGAAAUAAUGGUUUUUCUUAAAUAACUAUCGACUAUUUUAUGGUUUAUUUGAUUAAUUCUUGAUAGUGAUGAAUUUUAAGCAUUGGCGUGUCCUUUUUUAGGAUUCCACCAGCUUGUGGAGAUGUGCCUGCGUAGAUUGAUAAAUGGGUUUUCUACACACUACAAAUUCUUAUGAUUUUAUAUUUCUAAAAAGUGGUGGAGUUAUCAGCUUGUUGAUCAAUAUGAUAAGGGAGCUUUGUUCGGUUUUUGUGAUCAAGGGGUUUGUAGACUAUCCUCUGUUCUUUCUGCUUUUUGGUUGUUUUUUCAAAUUCUUAUAAAAGGUGAAGAAUUUAAGUUGAUCUUUUUGUAUGUGUUUCCUUUAAAAUGGAUAAUAUAUGUAAGACUAGAAAUGCAUCCUUUUGCCGUACAGUAUUAUUUUUUCAUCCUGUUAAUGAUUAGAAUCAUAUAAUGCUGAGGACUCUUUGCCUUCUCGUUAAUAAUUAGAAUCAUAUAGGCUGAGGAAUUUUUGCCUUCUUUUCAGUCAUCCUUAAUUUCAUGCAGUCAUAUCAGACAUUAAAAUCAUGGGGGAGUUCUUUUCAACAAUUUUGAUCAAUUGGUAUUCUGUUUCUUAUACGUGUCUGAAUUGGAUAAGAACCUAUAUGUGGUGGCCAUCUUUCCUUUUUCUGCCCACUUGGGCUUUGUAUGAGGUGUUUUAGUACAUUUCAUUUUUGGUGGUGUCCAAUAAUGAUAUAGAUCCUUACUAAUUGUCAUUAAACAAUAGAAUGAUGCUGAUGGUCUUUUAACUUGCUGAUAAUAUACAUUUGCCAACAAUGUUGGAUGUGAUACAUAGACUACUGAUAACUGAUGCUGUGAUCUUUGUGACUUUGAAGGCUGGCCCGUGUUUUGCAUCUUGUAUUGUUGGUUGUGUUGUUGAUGAAUGGUGCAGUGGUAACUCACAUAAAUCUUCAGCUGUAAUUGUUCCAUGAUGCAACUUAUUAUGAUCUUCAGUUUACAGUAUCUCGUAACAUCAGCUUGUUAUCUUCUUAGACUGAGUUGUUGCAUUGCAUUAUGUUAGUGCUAUUCGGUUUUGAUUUAUUUGCAAGUUUUGGUUCCACAUCGGAAUAUUGUAGACUGACUUCUUAUGGUAGAAGAACUGGUUUGAUGUGGGAUUUAUUUUUUCAGAAUUUUGAAUUGGUUUCUUCUUCCCUUAUAUGAUUUGGAUCGUCUAUCAACUUGACAGUAUAUUGAAUGAUUUUUCAAACUUCAUUUCACCUUGUCUUUUGAUUAAUUUAGUGGUAUUUAAUGGUAAGAAAUUAAUUGAUUUAGUCAUCCUAGAGCGUGGUGUAAAAAGUGUUGUGAUCUUUGAAUUUGUUUCUUUCCCCCUUGAUGAUUUGGUUUGAUUAUCCAAUUUGAUAGUAUGUUGAACGAUUCUUUCCAACUUUUGUUUUAUAUGAUCUUCUAAUUUGGUGAUUUGGCUGCCUGCUUCCUAGGAGUCCCUCUUGGCCUAUUAGCAUAAGGAUAAAGAUUGAGAAAAAGAAAGGGAUUUUUCGGGUUUGUGUUCUGUGCUAUUUUAGUUUUGACGACUCAGUUUGUGAAGACAUAUUUGUGCUAAGAUUGAAAAAACGGCUUUUCUUAUAUCCCAAUCUACAUUUCUUGAUUAUAUGCCUUCUGAAUCCUGAACUUUUUGGAUUCUCGUGUGGCGAAAAGAUUUCAAAUUGGCUUGUUUUUUCUUAUAUCUUAGAUGCCAGUCUGCAUUUGUUGAUCUUUUGCCUCCUGAAUUCUAGCUAGAAUUUUCGAAUAUAAGUUUUGGUGAAUAUCACUUUUAAAUUAGUCAUACAGGUUUCGAAUAUAGUGUUGGUUCUUGAUGGUUUCUUGUGGUGCUGGUUCUUGAUGGUUUCUUGUGGAGCUGAAAGAUUGAGACGUCGGUUUUUGGGCCUUCCUUCCAUAACAGUGAUUGUGAGCAUCAGUUGUAUGACUUUUUGCCUUCAGGAUCAUUCUUAAUCUCACUCGGUGGCUGUUAAAAUCAUGAAAGAGUUCCUUCUCAGCAUCUGCUACUGAAAGACAUGUCUGAAUUGAGCAAGAACCUUUGCUUGAAUUGUGUUUCCUUUUCAGGUUUCAAGACAUGUCAAUACAUCUUGUUUGGAUUGCUUCACCAUCUUUCUUAAUAUUAUCUCAACUCUUUUUUCAUCUUACCCAAAUUUAGUUCAUUAUGUUACAUGUCUUGUAGCGCUGGGUUUAUCGGAUGUUUUAUAAGCAGCAGUACACUUGGUGGUUCUGUAUCUUUUUAUGUGGAAGUAGUCCUUGCAAUUGUAGCUCAGUUUUAUGUUUGCAGCCUUUGUUUUGGUUAAUGUGGCAAAACUGGUCACAUGCUCCCUAGGUUUCAAUGUUUCCUGUGGUGGAUAUGCGAGAGAAUUGUUCCAGGUUAGUGAUUUGGUAUUGUUUGUUGCUGGGCUACAUAAAUUCUAUGCUGAGGAGGAGGUUUUGCUAUGACAUUCACUGGUGCCAUUAAGCACUUGGUUCCAUGAGUGUUUGAUGUGAUAUAUAGAACCACAGAUCACUGAUGCUGAUACUUUAUAUGUCGAAGGCUGGUCCAGUUAGGCUGGUUCAGUUGUCAUACUUGGAUGGUAUGAGAUUAUGGAUGAGUUUGGAUUUGUUCUGCUGCGCACUUGGAUUGUGGGGGUUUCAUUUUCUGGUUAUGGACUCGAGUUUUUCUUCUUUUUGUUUUUCCUUUCUUAUUUCCUUGUGGACUAGAAACCUGAUAUGAUAUGAGUAUGAUGAUGAUAAGAAUAUCCUCUUUAUGAAUUAUGAUAAGAAAGAGUUGAAGAGUAUUGAUUUGUACCAGUAUGAUGAUGAUAAGAAAGAGUUCCUCAUUUAAAAUUGUUUUCUUAUUGGAUGGGCUCCCGUAUCCAAUGGUAUAUUAAUUGGCACUAGUAUGUUAAUUCAUGUUUCAGAAUUAUUAAUCCCAAUUAAUAGUAUUUUAC
rnacentral:lncRNA from 1 species